UACGUAGGGGGCAAGCGUUGUCCGGAAUCAUUGGGCGUAAAGCGCGUGUAGGCGGUCCGGUAAGUCCGCUGUGAAAGUCGGGGCUCAACCCUCGGAUGCCGGUGGAUACUGUCGGGCUUGAGUACGGAAGAGGCGAGUGGAAUUCCUGGUGUAGCGGUGAAAUGCGCAGAUAUCAGGAGGAACACCAAUUGCGAAGGCGGCUCGCUGGGCCGGUCCUGACACUGAUGCGCGAAGGCGUGGGGAGCGAACGGG
rnacentral:rRNA from 1 species